rnacentral:lncRNA from 1 species
GCAGCAUUAGGUGAUGAAUUGGAACCGUGUCGCGCUCUGAUUGGCCAAAUCACAUUAUUUGAAUGUCUCAUCUGAGCUAAACAUAAAGAAAUCAAACGAGUGAUGAUUAUUUUAACCUGUGACCGUAUAAUCAUGAUCUAGAUUUUGCACAUAAUCCAACCAUGAGACAUGAACAGAAACUCACAGUAUAAACUCCAGCAAAUGCAAAAUGGAUGAUGAAUGAGACAAAACAGAGUAUGCUUAAACAAGUGUAAAUGAUAUAUUAUAGGAAAUGACUGUACCUUAUGAUAUCAUCGAAGAGAAGAAUGAGAAGCAUAAGACUAAACAAUUUUUUGUUGGAGUAUGCUUAAACAAGUGUAAAUGAUUGAUAGAAUCUAUUGGGAGAGUCGAAGGCAAUCGAUGUGCAGAUAUUGUUCUCAAUCUUUUUCUCUUGUGUCCUACAGUUGAAGAGAAGCAUGCUUCCAGUUGCAGACAUUAAAAAAGCUCCAUAAGACAAAUCCCAACAUUGAUUUAGUUCAGGCUGUUCUAAUGAUCAAGCAUUAAUAAGCUUAAGAUACAGAAUAAAGAACAUCUCCAAGUCUUUCUUUUUCUCAUAUAUUUAUAAGAAUUCAACUGCUCAUCUAAUAUAUUAUCAUGUGUCCAAAUAUAUCAGUUUUGGAACAAUCUCUUUGAGGGACUGUACCACAGUAUUCAAGCAUAAUAAUCUUUGCAUAUAACUCCAUAAAUAUAAACCACCAGAAAACGGAGAAGGCCUAAUGGUUCACUUAUAAACAUCAUCAUCCAAAUGUAAAUUGUUCUUCACCAAGAUUAUUGUUAUCAGGAUCUAUUGACAUGAGGGUCACAUAUCAUCUACCACAGGUUUUCUCAGGAAGUGAUGCCUUUGGCCAAUAAGAAUCUGUUUGAUUCUUUCUGCCAUAGUUGUUACUGGUUCAUGCUACUUGGGGAGAUCCAUCCAUCAAAGGAGCGAGGCCAAAGAGAAGUAUUCUGUCCUUCACAAGUACCUGCAUGAAGGGAUUCCGGAGCGAGAGAAAGCUUCAUUUGAGAUGACUUUUGAGAGUCCCUCACAAUGUACUGGAGGAAUUAGAAAGGUUGUUCACAAAGCCACCUAAAGAGGCAUCUGAUGGCCUGCAUUGAACAGAUGGACAAGCUUGAUG